AUGCCGGCUCUGGGUGCCGUCUCCACAAAGCUCCCUCCCCAGGGGGAUUCCCACAGAGGAAUUUUCUCAAGGAAGGUCCCGUGUCAGGAAUGCUGCUCGGGUACGGGUUCCCACCAGCCUACACGCAGGGCACGGGCUCACACGGCAGGGUGGGCUGCCUCUUUAAAGGCGCGAACCUCAGGGACCCCCGAGUCUGGCUCCUCAAGUCUGGGCAUCAAACUUUCUCCUAGAACAAAACCUCUUCGAACCCACAAGGAGACAAGAGGAGGACAGAGCCCGGGGAUGCCAUCAGCUGCGGCCGGGAGACAGCGCUCCCACCCCCGCCCGCUUCCCUCAGCCCCCACCCUCUUCCUCCGAGGGAAGGCGGCCCCGGCUGCACAGCCCCGCCCGGCCCCACCCACUCGCUCCCCGGCCCACCGCCUGGGCGACGGAGCCCACAGCCUCACAAAGCCACCUCCCGGGCGCUGCGGUUCCCCAGGGCGAGGGGCGAUCCGGGGUGAGUACCUGAGGAAGAGGCCAGGACACCGGCGCCGGACGAGACCCGCAGCAUCGCCCGGGCGCCGCUGCCGUGGUUGCCACCGCCCGAGGCUACUUCGCUGCGCCGAGCGCUGGAGCCGCGGGGACCAGAAAUCUAGGGAAUCCAAAAGAACGUGGGAGUGCUGAUCUCCCUGCAGUCUGAAGCCUGGAGAAACCGUCUGGAAGGCUAUAGCUGUUCAUCUCACAGGAGCAGAUGUUGUCCCUCCCCAGGGAGUUAUUAUGGGUUGGAAGAAAUGGGAAAAUGAAAAUAACUUAUUUUGUGAAUGUUAUCAAAUAUGAUAAGCACCAGCCAGAUAGAGCUCUGAAUGAGUAAGUAUUCUUUACUGAUAGAAGCAAAAGCAAAUGAACAUUAUGGUUUUCUAAAUACAUUCAGAAGCAAAUAAUUUGAGCAAAAGCACAGACCUAAUUGGGUCACAGAUGAUAGCAUGUGGGAAACAGUCCUGGAGAAGUAGAAAGUGUGUUGCUAGGUCAGCUCAGCUGGUUGUCAUCUGUCAACCCUACCCCUAACCAUGGCUUUGCAGACUUCUCUAGUAGGCUUCCUCCUUUCCAAGGUGGCUAGGCAGAGAGUCACAGAGAUAGUGAUCUAAGAUCCCUUAGGAUGCUUAUGGGACCUGCUUCUGUGGGUGAAAAGCCAGUCAAGGAUAGGACCGGAGAGGAACCGAAAUACUUUCCUGCUGAGCUAUCUGCUAGCCCCUUUUCAGUCAGCUAGCCGGAGGUUUCUUGCUGUUUUAGCACAGUAGAUUUACCUUAUGGUUAAAUGCGGUUCCAUUUCAGAAAAGGAAACAUAACAGCAGAUAGCGACCACAGAAGUGAUAGCCUGAUGAAAAAGAAUAAUCUUGGGUAUAGUGUAAACGUAAAAACUAUGAAGUUUUUUAAAAAUAAAAAAUUUCGCUUGCAUACA
rnacentral:lncRNA from 13 species